AUGCAGUGGUUGUGCUGGGAUAACAGUGGGGAGUACCUGGCAUAUGUCAGUGAGGAUCAAGUUAAGGUUUGGUCAGUAUCAUCAGGAGAGUGCAUUCAUGAGGUCAGCUCAAAUGGAAAUGCGUUCUAUUCUUGUGUGUUCCAUCCAAGUUAUACCAACCUCUUGGUGAUUGGAGGCUACCAGUCUUUGGAGCUAUGGGACAUGGUAAACAACCAAAUUAUGACGGUACAAGCUCACGAAGGUAUAAUUGUCGCGUCGGCACAAUCACCGGUAACCGGGAUGGUGGCUUCCGCGAGCCACGACAAAUCUGUCAAGCUGUGGAAGUAA
rnacentral:rRNA from 1 species